UGAAACGUUGAAUGGAGAGCUCGCUGUCGUGUUGACUAACGUACAAAAACUGCACAUGACUCGUCUCUGUGUCGAAAUACCUCUUCAUUCACAUGAAUCAGCCACUAAAAAUACUGCUGGCUAAUUUGUAAAUAUAUUCGACCAUGGGCCUAUAUGGCCGGGUUGUAUUGCUCAGUCAUUCGACGAACCACUGUUGUAGCCGACUACGCAUCGCGUGUGGUGUCGACUAACCAGGAAGCGUAAACUAGCGGAGUGUUGGGAUUUCAAAGAAAUGGCGACUUCAGACACCGCCAUGCUGAAGCGGUACAAGGCUGCCAUGCUUCUGGCGGGCGCGGGUGAUGCUCUCGGCUACAAGAAUGCAGAAUGGGAGUUCUGUCGAAAAGGAAGAUUUAUCCACGAAGAACUGGAACGAUUGGGAGGAUUAGAAAUGAUCGAAGUGAACAGACACGGCUGGACGGUGAGUGAUGACACCGUAAUGCACCUGGCUACUGCCCAAGCACUGGUGUCCCCUGCAGCUGAGCAGGGCCGCAUCGAGCUGUACCACGAGAUGGCCCGCCAGUACAUAGAGUGCAUGAAGGACAUGACCGGCAGGGCGCCAGGUGGGACCUGUAAGGCGUCGACCCGGAUUCUGAAACCAGGCAUCAAAGAUGGCUACAAGGUCCCUUUCAGCAAUAGGAGCGGAGGAUGUGGAGCGGCCAUGAGGUCCAUGUGCAUUGGCCUCAGAUACUCCAGACCUGAAGACCUGAACGACCUGAUUGCUGUCAGCAUUGAGAGUGGCAGAAUGACACACCAUCAUCCUGUGGGCUAUCUGGGAGCCCUCACUUCGGCCCUAUUCGCAGCUUACAGUAUUCAAGGCAAGCCGCCGGUAGAGUGGGGACAGGAACUACUGGACGUUCUCCCUCAAGCCUUGCAGUACGUCGUGGACAGCGACCACUACCCCGAAGAAAAUAAAAAUGCUUGGCCAUUCUUUGAGAAGCAAUGGAAAGAUUACGUCGAGUUGCGGAAACUGGCAUCUGGAAAAGCGCAUUUCCCUGACAAUUACCAUGAGGCUGACGUGAGGGACGCAUACUACAAACACAUCAGUAUUGGCGGGUGGGGCGGGGCUUGUGGGCAUGACUCCACUAUUAUUGCAACUCUUCUAAUCACUUCAGCUAUGACGCCAUCCUGGGGGCCGGGCAAGACUGGAAAGAGCUGUGUAUGAGGGGGGUGUUCCAUGGCGGCGACAGUGACAGCACAGGGACCAUAGCGGCAUGCUGCUACGGCGCCAUGUACGGAUUGGAAGGUGUGCCAAAGGGAAACUAUAGAAACCUUGAGUACAGAGACCGCCUGGAGACACUUGGGA
rnacentral:misc_RNA from 1 species